rnacentral:rRNA from 1 species
UGGGGAAUUUUGGACAAUGGGGGAAACCCUGAUCCAGCCAUCCCGCGUGUGCGAUGAAGGCCUUCGGGUUGUAAAGCACUUUUGGCAGGAAAGAAACGUCGCGGGUUAAUACCCCGCGAAACUGACGGUACCUGCAGAAUAAGCACCGGCUAACUACGUGCCAGCAGCCGCGGUAAUACGUAGGGUGCAAGCGUUAAUCGGAAUUACUGGGCGUAAAGCGUGCGCAGGCGGUUCGGAAAGAAAGAUGUGAAAUCCCAGAGCUUAACUUUGGAACUGCAUUUUUAACUACCGGGCUAGAGUGUGUCAGAGGGAGGUGGAAUUCCGCGUGUAGCAGUGAAAUGCGUAGAUAUGCGGAGGAACACCGAUGGCGAAGGCAGCCUCCUGGGAUAACACUGACGCUCAUGCACGAAAGCGUGGGGGAGCAAACAGGAUUAGAUACCCUGGUAGUCCACGCCCUAAAACGAUGUCAAACUAGCUAGUUGGGGGCCUUCGGGCCUUGGUAGCGCAGCUAACGCGUGAAGUUGACCGCCUGGGGAGUACGGUCGCAAGAUUAAAAACUCAAAUGAA